UAGUACUUCCUUGUUAUUAUACGUUUGUUUGCUUAGUUAAUGUUUUUCUAGUCUACGCAUGCAGUUUCUUCUAACAUAGAUAUUAAGAGCUGAUAUAUAUAUAUAUAUAUAUAUAUAUAUAUAUAUAUACUGAAAAGUUCAAUCGAUUAAUUUUUGCGUUGUAGAAGAGCUGAAUGUUUACAUGGUCCUAACCAGUCGUUCUCUUCAUUCUUCAAGAACCAUAGAAUAAUAAUUAGCUAACUACGACUAUGAGCAUGCUGAUUAGUCUCUUAGUGGUUCAACAAUGUAUACUCGGUGCCUGGUAUGUGAUCCUUUUAAUUUCCAUUUUCCUCAAGGAAAGUGCUGUACUCUUAAUAUAUUUAGUUUGCCCUUUUUUAAAUCAUAGUAUUUUAAAAUCAAAUGCAAGACUCAUCUUACAUGUUCCUGACAACUUAUUUGCAGAAAACAUGCGUUGUCAAAAGUUUUCGAGGUUGGAACCUACUACAGUAACGGCUGAUGGGAGAAGUUGAGGCAAAAUCUUACACUUUACAGUGUGCAAGAUCUGCUUACCCUUGGACAAUGUCAAAGUGACACUUUUGACAUUCUUCAAACACGGAUUCCCAGCUGUUGAACAAUUGAAAGCAGAUUGCAUCACGAGAGUUAAUUUCAACCAUGUUAUAAUUCCGUACAGAUUAAAUUAUAGUUACCUAUAUUCUUUGGGGGUGGUUACUGGCCGGUUAGUGUAUUUCUUGAUCAGAAUGUUCGGUGAAUCUAGUAUGUUAUAUAAUUAAUUUGUCUUUGCUCUACCGAA
rnacentral:lncRNA from 1 species